rnacentral:rRNA from 1 species
UUGCUCCUUGAUUCAGCGGCGGACGGGUGAGUAAUGCCUAGGAAUCUGCCUGGUAGUGGGGGACAACGUUUCGAAAGGAACGCUAAUACCGCAUACGUCCUACGGGAGAAAGCAGGGGACCUUCGGGCCUUGCGCUAUCAGAUGAGCCUAGGUCGGAUUAGCUAGUUGGUGAGGUAAUGGCUCACCAAGGCGACGAUCCGUAACUGGUCUGAGAGGAUGAUCAGUCACACUGGAACUGAGACACGGUCCAGACUCCUACGGGAGGCAGCAGUGGGGAAUAUUGGACAAUGGGCGAAAGCCUGAUCCAGCCAUGCCGCGUGUGUGAAGAAGGUCUUCGGAUUGUAAAGCACUUUAAGUUGGGAGGAAGGGUUGUACGCUAAUACCGUGCAAUUUUGACGUUACCGACAGAAUAAGCACCGGCUAACUCUGUGCCAGCAGCCGCGGUAAUACAGAGGGUGCAAGCGUUAAUCGGAAUUACUGGGCGUAAAGCGCGCGUAGGUGGUUCGUUAAGUUGGAUGUGAAAGCCCCGGGCUCAACCUGGGAACUGCAUCCAAAACUGGCGAGCUAGAGUACGGUAGAGGGUGGUGGAAUUUCCUGUGUAGCGGUGAAAUGCGUAGAUAUAGGAAGGAACACCAGUGGCGAAGGCGACCACCUGGACUGAUACUGACACUGAGGUGCGAAAGCGUGGGGAGCAAACAGGA